AAAAGGGACAAAGGGGGAGAACUCCACUUUUAUGUCACUAGUAAAAGCAGAGGAGAGUUCGUGAGGUGAAAGUUCAUACACAGGACAAAGCCCCCUCUCCUCCACCCCCCCUUAACCCCAAAGGCAUCUAGAGCCCCAGGGAAUCCCCAUCUUGUGUCCCUGAUCUGGCAGGGGGACCCCCCAGUGUACAUGGGUGACCCUCUCCAGUACAGAUAUUUUAUCACCUAAUAAAUCAGUCCCAUUUAGAUUAAC